AUUGAACGCUGGCGGCAUGCCUUACACAUGCAAGUCGAACGGCAGCAUGGGUGCUUGCACCUGAUGGCGAGUGGCGAACGGGUGAGUAAUGCAUCGGAACGUACCCGGAAGUGGGGGAUAACGUAGCGAAAGUUACGCUAAUACCGCAUAUUCUGUGAGCAGGAAAGAGGGGGAUCGCAAGACCUCUCGCUUUCGGAGCGGCCGAUGUCGGAUUAGCUAGCUGGCGGGGUAAAGGCCCACCAAGGCAACGAUCCGUAGCGGGUCUGAGAGGAUGAACCGCCACACUGGGACUGAGACACGGCCCAGACUCCUACGGGAGGCAGCAGUGGGGAAUUUUGGACAAGGGGGGCAACCCUGAUCCAGCCAUGCCGCGUGAGUGAAGAAGGCCUUCGGGUUGUAAAGCUCUUUCGGCUGGGAAGAAAUCGCAUCUCCUAAUACGGGGUGUGGAUGACGGUACCAGCAUAAGAAGCACCGGCUAACUACGUGCCAGCCGCCGCGGUAA
rnacentral:rRNA from 1 species